GGGGGACAAUUAUCAAGUUUUGUUUGGUUGAUUUUAAGUAGUUUGUUACCUGGAUACUCAACAAACG
rnacentral:lncRNA from 1 species